rnacentral:lncRNA from 1 species
AAAAAUGAGCCAAAUAGUAAAAUAACCAAGUUGAUUAAGUAAAAGUUAAUACUAAUCAUAAAAAUAAAAAUAUUUUAAUUAUAUACACUCUUACUAUAAUACCCUUUUAUUAUUUUAAGUUAGCAAUAUUUAAAAUCUGGAAAUUUGAAUCUUAAUUUACUGAAAUUGGAAAAGACAAAGUUCAAAAAAAAAAAGAAAAAAAAGAAGAAGAAAAAAAAACCAACUACUCCCACCCCUCCCGAUUCACGUCCCCUCCAUCAAAACUAUCGAGCAAGAAUUUCGGCGAACAUCAACAACUCACGGACCGCCGCCUAAACCCCCCUAUGUUGUGUCAUUCUUUCUCGUCUAUCUUUCUCCCUCUCACCAAAUGAUUCACACCGGUAACACCCCUAUUUUUAGUUUAUUUUUUCAAAUCUAGAUCCAUCUUCCCCUCUCUCAUUCCUUGAAAUUUCUAGCUCACUGUCGUCGUGAUAGCAGCGCUGCGGCCUUCAACCCUUCCAU